CUAUCUUUUACAAAGGAUCUCUGCUCUAACGUGACACUUCCUACGUCGUCCAUGGGCGCUCAGAGCCCGGGAAAAACCUGAAUGUCGUCAUCCCAGCCCCAGGCUGAAACACAUUAUCGCCUUUCUCAAGUGGCCGAUCAAGGGACUGUGGGCUUAGGCGCGUGACCUGGCCUCCCCGUCUUUGUGAUUUUUUCCUCUGUUUGCCGAAAAGGAGAUUCCCGGGUCGGAAUAUUAUCGCUUUUCUACGAGAAAAAUGGCAUAAAAAUUGAUUUUAAACAGCGGUUGACAUGCUUCGAAGUACGGUAAUGGAAUAUUUAGAAUUUUUUUGUCACGAAUUGCGCCAUGCGCACGACCCUUAUUUACCAUUUCGGAUAGUGUCUGGGACGCACGAACAAAACGGCGCUAUUCGGAUAUAACGAUGGAUUAUUUUGGACCAAACCAACAUUUGUUAUUGAAGUGGCAGUCCUGGGAGUGCAUUCUGACGAAGACAACAAAAGGACCUGAGCCCUAGGACCAUGCCUCAGGACUACCUGGUAUGAUGACUCCUUGCUGUCCCCAGUCCACCUGGCCGUGCUGCUGCUCCAGUUUCAACUGUUCUGCCUGCGGCUAUGGAACCCUGACCUGUUCACCGGACGUGCUUGUUGCACCCUCGACAACUACUAUGAUUAUUAUUAUUUGACCAUGCUGGUCAUUUAUGAACAUUUUAACAUUUUAACAUUUUGACCAUGUUCUGUUAUAAUAUCC
rnacentral:lncRNA from 1 species